ensembl:lncRNA
AUGGGAUGUACUGUAAUCGGAUAUUUUAAAAACCUCCUGCGAGCAAAUUCUCACUCUGCCAACAGUAUCUGUCCAUCACAACAGAAAGCCUCACAAAGUUCUCAAAGAAAUGAACUCAGCAGUUUUGAUUAUACUCCUCCAUCAUGUGCAAAGUUGGAUUCUCAACCCAGCAAUGAAGGAUUCACACUCUCAAGCGCAUGGCAGUCACCUGGGUUAUGUUUCCCCCCAGAAGAAUUAAGUAAUGAUGUGUUACAGCAGUCCAGAGACUGUGAUUGUAAUGUUCUUUCACCAAAUAACGAGGAAACAAGAACAUGUAAAUGCACUUCCCAAAGCAACACCAGUCAUUUGAAGCAUGCUAACUGUAUACAGCAUGAACUGAAGAAUGAAACACAGAACAGUCACAGGAAAUCUUUUCCCUCAAACUGUGAUAUGUUUGAAUCAUCAGCACAUUUUAACAGUUCUACUGUAUGUGACACUAUAAGUCCACUUAGCACCUUGUCCUGUGGAAAUAAUACUGAAAUAACUAAAUCCGAAUGCCUUGUAAGAGCUAAAACCAGAGAAGAAAAUGAUGCACCUUUGCACGAGAAGUCACUUUACAGUCUUGAUUUAGAGGAUGUACCUUUAUCUGAAAGCUUACAAGAGUUUGUCAGGGUGGAGCCUCAGAUAUCAGAGAUAAAUGACACAAAGGAGCUCUGUUCAUGUAAAAGUGAUCAAAUGAUUCAAGUGCAAAAUAGAUGCUCUCUGACUGAAAAUUUAGCAAGCAUCUCAAAAACUAUACCAAUGACUUUUUGUAGCGAAGACUUGUCCUCACUAAUGUGCAAUGUGAACCACAUAAGUUGGAAAGAGAAAAAUGAAAAUGACUAUCCAGAAAAUCUUGAAACUAUGAUGAACAAUGCUGAGAUCCAUAAGACUCCCACUCUUUUGUGCACUACCAAUUCUUCAAAAAAGAUGAUUCCUUUUAGUCCUGACAUUACAUGUGCAUUUAAUCGCUCCACAAACAACAGGUUGUCUUUUUCAAACAAAAAAGAACUUACUUUAAAAAGAAAAAAAUUAACUAGGAGCAGCCCCUCCGUGGCUUUUUGUUCAGUAAACCAUGAAAAGGGCAAAUAUUUCAGGCACUGUGCACAAAGUGAGGUCCAUUCUGUAAAUUGCAAAGUCAGGCAGGAACAUAUUGUGUUUGAUGACCAUGAGGAGAAGUACAAUUGCUCUGUAGACUUGUUUGCUUCUGGUGAGAGCAGUAUGGAAAUGAACCUUUCGGAUGUGACAGAGAUUUCUAAAGGCAAUGAACCAAGGAAUGUCAACACAUCAGAGCCUGGAGGUUCAGGUCUGCUUUUUUCACCAUGUUUGCAAUCCACUCCAGUGUCUUAUUAUAACAGCUCAUGGGGACAGAAGACCCGGCGAAGCCAAAAACGUGUUGACUCAUUGUGCUCCGGAAAAACUGAACGUGAAUUUAAAAGCAAGAUCAUAGAUCUGAGGUUAACUGAUAAAAGACAAAAGAUGGAUCACUUGCCGAUUGUUGGGGCUACUGAUAGUUUCUCAGGCAAGUCUGAAGUGCAGGAAGCAAGCUGUAAUUUGUCUGUAAAUGAGUGGUCCAAAGAUCUUUUUGAAAAUUCAUUUUGA